rnacentral:rRNA from 1 species
UACGUAGGGUGCAAGCGUUAAUCGGAAUUACUGGGCGUAAAGCGUGCGCAGGCGGUUUCGUAAGUCUGUCGUGAAAUCCCCGGGCUUAACCUGGGAAUGGCGAUGGAGACUGCGAGGCUAGAGUUUGGCAGAGGGGGGUAGAAUUCCACGUGUAGCAGUGAAAUGCGUAGAGAUGUGGAGGAACACCGAUGGCGAAGGCAGCCCCCUGGGUCAAAACUGACGCUCAUGCACGAAAGCGUGGGGAUCAAACAGG